rnacentral:rRNA from 1 species
UUAAAGAGUUCUAUAACUCCCAAACCCAUGUGAACAUACCUAACGUUGCCUCGGCAGGUCGCACCUACCUUGUAGCACCCUACCCUGUAGGGCCUACCCGGGAGGUGCGGGUAAGCCUGCCGGCGGCCCACCAAACUCUGUUUGAUAUUGAAUUCUGAACCUAUAACUAAAUAAGUUAAAACUUUCAACAACGGAUCUCUUGGUUCUGGCAUCGAUGAAGAACGCAGCGAAAUGCGAUAAGUAAUGUGAAUUGCAGAAUUCAGUGAAUCAUCGAAUCUUUGAACGCAUAUUGCGCCCAUUAGUAUUCUAGUGGGCAGGACCGUUCGAGCGUCAUUUCAACCCUUAAGCCUUCGUUGCUUAGUGUUGGGAGCCUACGGCAACGUAGCUCCUCAAAGUUAGUGGCGGAGUUGGUUCACACUCUAGACGUAGUAAUUUUUUAUCUCGCCUAUUAGUUGGACUAAUCCCCUGCCGUAAAACCCCCAAUUUAUCAAGGUUGACCUCGAAUCGGUUCAGACAAACUCGCUAAAUUGAAGCAUCUUAGUCAGCGAAGGAAAAGAAACCAACAGGGAUUGCCCUAGUAACGGCGAGUGAAGCGGCAACAGCUCAAAUUUG